rnacentral:rRNA from 1 species
CGAGUUAUCUGAACCUUCGGGGAACGAUAACGGCGUCGAGCGGCGGACGGGUGAGUAAUGCCUAGGAAAUUGCCCUGAUGUGGGGGAUAACCAUUGGAAACGAUGGCUAAUACCGCAUGAUGCCUACGGGCCAAAGAGGGGGACCUUCGGGCCUCUCGCGUCAGGAUAUGCCUAGGUGGGAUUAGCUAGUUGGUGAGGUAAGGGCUCACCAAGGCGACGAUCCCUAGCUGGUCUGAGAGGAUGAUCAGCCACACUGGAACUGAGACACGGUCCAGACUCCUACGGGAGGCAGCAGUGGGGAAUAUUGCACAAUGGGCGCAAGCCUGAUGCAGCCAUGCCGCGUGUGUGAAGAAGGCCUUCGGGUUGUAAAGCACUUUCAGUCGUGAGGAAGGUAGUGUAGUUAAUAGCUGCAUUAUUUGACGUUAGCGACAGAAGAAGCACCGGCUAACUCCGUGCCAGCAGCCGCGGUAAUACGGAGGGUGCGAGCGUUAAUCGGAAUUACUGGGCGUAAAGCGCAUGCAGGUGGUUUGUUAAGUCAGAUGUGAAAGCCCGGGGCUCAACCUCGGAAUUGCAUUUGAAACUGGCAGACUAGAGUACUGUAGAGGGGGGUAGAAUUUCAGGUGUAGCGGUGAAAUGCGUAGAGAUCUGAAGGAAUACCGGUGGCGAAGGCGGCCCCCUGGACAGAUACUGACACUCAGAUGCGAAAGCGUGGGGAGCAAACAGGAUUAGAUACCCUGGUAGUCCACGCCGUAAACGAUGUCUACUUGGAGGUUGUGGCCUUGAGCCGUGGCUUUCGGAGCUAACGCGUUAAGUAGACCGCCUGGGGAGUACGGUCGCAAGAUUAAAACUCAAAUGAAUUGACGGGGGCCCGCACAAGCGGUGGAGCAUGUGGUUUAAUUCGAUGCAACGCGAAGAACCUUACCUACUCUUGACAUCCAGAGAACUUUCCAGAGAUGGAUUGGUGCCUUCGGGAACUCUGAGACAGGUGCUGCAUGGCUGUCGUCAGCUCGUGUUGUGAAAUGUUGGGUUAAGUCCCGCAACGAGCGCAACCCUUAUCCUUGUUUGCCAGCGAGUAAUGUCGGGAACUCCAGGGAGACUGCCGGUGAUAAACCGGAGGAAGGUGGGGACGACGUCAAGUCAUCAUGGCCCUUACGAGUAGGGCUACACACGUGCUACAAUGGCGCAUACAGAGGGCGGCCAACUUGCGAAAGUGAGCGAAUCCCAAAAAGUGCGUCGUAGUCGGGAUUGGAGUCUGCAACUCGACUCCAUGAAGUCGGAAUCGCUAGUAAUC